UACGUAGGGUGCAAGCGUUAAUCGGAAUUACUGGGCGUAAAGCGUGCGCAGGCGGCUUUGCAAGACAGAUGUGAAAUCCCCGGGCUCAACCUGGGAACUGCAUUUGUGACUGCAAGGCUAGAGUACGGUAGGAGGGGGAUGGAAUUCCGCGUGUAGCAGUGAAAUGCGUAGAUAUGCGGAGGAACACCGAUGGCGAAGGCAAUCCCCUGGGCCUGCACUGACGCUCAUGCACGAAAGCGUGGGGAGCAAACAGG
rnacentral:rRNA from 1 species